rnacentral:lncRNA from 1 species
AGUGGGGUUUAAUCUGGACUGAAUUGGAGGAAAGGAACUGGCACCAGAGUGGAGGCUGGAAGGAUGGUGGAACUGACACUGGGACAGAACACAGAAAACAGAAUCUAAUGCUAUUGCUCUGGCUAUAUCAAAUAAAAGUGUCAAGAGUGAGCAUCCUUGCCUUGUGCUGAAUCACAAAGGAAUACCUUUCAGUUUUUCUCCAUUGAUUAUGAUAGCAGUGGGCUUUUCACAGUGGGCUUUACUGUGUUGAGGUACCCUAAUGACAAGUUCACCCCAGUGUUUUCUGAGGAGUCUACCUGGAAAUGAGAACCAUCUGUCCUUCCUAUAGUAGUUCUUCUCAGAAUGCCGACUCUAUGCUAAUGUGAACCUUCAGAAAGGGCAGAAAGGAAGUUUACUUCUGCCUCUACAAUGGAUUUGCCUACUUUAGACAUGUUUUCAAGAUUUAUCCACGUCAUGGCAUAUACCAGAACUUCAUUUCUUUUAUGAUUGAAUAAUAUUACAUGGUUUUAAUAUACUAUAUUUUGUUUAUCUGUUCAUCAAUUAAUAAAUCUUUGGGUUGUUUUCACUUUUAGGCUAUAAUAAUUAACGCUGUUAGGAAUAUUUACUUGUAAGUUUUUGUUAUAUGUUUUUAAUUCUCCUGGGUAGAUACUUAGGGAUAAAAUUGCUGAAUUAGAUUGUAACUUUAUGUUUAGAAACUGCCCAACUGUUUUCCAAAGUAACUAUCAUUUUAAUAUUUCACCAGCAUUGUAUGACAGUUCUGGUCUUUCCUUAUUUAAACUAAUACUUAAUUGUUGCCUUUUAUUGUAGCUAUCCUAGUAGAUAUGAAGUGUUAUCUCAUUAUGGUUUUGAUUUGCAUUCUCUAAUGACUAAUAAUAUCAAGCAUCUUUUCAUGUGUAUACAAGAUAUUUGUAUAUCUUCUUUAGAGAAAUGUCUACUCAAAUCCUGUGCCUAUGUUUUAAUUGGAUAAUUUAUGUUUUUAUUGUUGAGUUGUAAUAGUUUUUAAAUAUAUUCUGGAUCCUAGACCUUUAACA